GGGGGGCCAGCGGCGCCACGGGGACCCAUGGGACCCUGAAGAGAAAGAAGUAAUCAAAGGAUCAGUGAAUGGAAGGGGCAGUAAUGGCGGCGAAGGUGCCAUUAAAUGUCCUGGGACUGACCAUGUGACCAGAAGGUGGUAAUGUGAUACCAGGAAACUAGAAGUGGAAGAUGAAAUGGAUCAAAACAGAAGGAGACGGUACCGUCGUCGGGGCAGACGGGGCAGCACUCGUCGUGGGGGAUGACGGGGUUUGGGCAGUCUGUCGUGUCCUCGCA